CAGCUCCGAACACAUGUUUACAUUCAUUGUUGGUCAUUGAGGAUUCCAGCUAUAACUCCGGACGUGUUCUAAAAUGAUGUCAUUCAGUUAAUUGUAGGAAUUGAUUUGAGUGUUUCCAUUUUUACGUCCACUCCGUAAUAUCAGGUAACUCAGUAACAUCAAACCGGACAUCACUGUAAUUGUGGCCAAGAAUUCACCAAGAGAAAGCGAUGGCUGAUCCUGCAUAUUCAAAGGUGCCUCUUCAAGAUCCAAGUAUUGCCCCAUCAGCCCCUCCUGUUGAUGUAGUCGGAUCGCCUGGCUCGGCACCGCCAC